GAUGAACGCUAGCGGCAGGCUUAACACAUGCAAGUCGAGGGGUAGAGGAAGCUUGCUUCCUUGAGACCGGCGCACGGGUGCGUAACGCGUAUGCAAUCUACCUUGUACAGGGGGAUAGCCCAGAGAAAUUUGGAUUAAUACCCCAUAGUAUUAUUGAAUGGCAUCAUUUGAUUAUUAAAGUUCCAACGGUACAAGAUGAGCAUGCGUCCCAUUAGCUAGUUGGUGUGGUAACGGCAUACCAAGGCGACGAUGGGUAGGGGUCCUGAGAGGGAGAUCCCCCACACUGGUACUGAGACACGGACCAGACUCCUACGGGAGGCAGCAGUGAGGAAUAUUGGUCAAUGGGCGCAAGCCUGAACCAGCCAUGCCGCGUGCAGGAUGACGGUCCUAUGGAUUGUAAACUGCUUUUGUACAGGAAGAAACACUCCCUCGUGAGGGAGCUUGACGGUACUGUAAGAAUAAGGAUCGGCUAACUCCGUGCCAGCAGCCGCCGUAAAAC
rnacentral:rRNA from 1 species